CCCUUCUCUCUCUCUCUCUCUCUCUCUCUCGAUCUCCCACACCCCUUGUGAAUGCGUUAAAACUUCUUCAACCUUCUAUAGAAACCCCAACCUCAGAUUCUUCCUCUCUGAAUUUCCGAAAACAAAAAUGAAAGAGAGAUUAAAUAAGAUCUCUCUCUCACAAAAAUUGGAUCGGAGAAAACGAAGCAGUCACUGCAGUGGAACGAUAAUGUCGACGAGGAGCAGCUCAGCUUCUUCCAAGCAUCCUUUAAACCUCACUUCUCCCAAUACCAAAUGCUCCAAGGUUCUCUCAUCUUUAGGGUUUCUCUCUCUCUCUUUGUUUUUUUCUAUUUCCAGCGUUUUGAUUUUGAUGAGGGAUUUGCAAAACAUCAGAUGGAUAUUCCACCUUUGCUAAACGAUGCCGGCAACACCAGUUGUACACUUCAAAGUGAUUUGUCUUCUCUUCAAGAAGGCCCUCAACUUCCCUUCGAUCCGACCCCUGUCAGCGUGCUGAAGGAGAAAUCUAACCAGGGCACCGACAGAUUGGUGUGAAGGGUGAAGAUUUUCCAGUUUUAAAAAUGUUUUUCAGCUAAGAAUGUUUGUUUUUAUUUCUAUUGAAGUCUCCACUUUUAUCUCCAAAUAAUAUUUCUUGGAGAUUGGUGUGAAGGGUGAAGAUUUUCUGUUUCCUUCUCAUAUUAGAAGGAAUCCUUUGCAGUGCUCUUGACAGAAAUUCAUUCCCACAUGAAUUCCAAUUUGGUUUCAGUACAUCUGCAUUUCAGGUGGAAGGAGCAGCUCUUGAAGAUGGGAGGGGUGUAAGCAUCUGGGAUACUCUCUGUUCUCUUCCUGGUAAAUAACCAAAAUGCCUUUUUCUUUUCUAUUUUUUUUUGUGGGUAUUUUACUAUUUCUUCUCUUGAGCUUUUCUGUAAUUAUUACGAUGACUGGUGUUGGAUUUUU